GUCCACGCCCUAAACGAUGUCAACUGGUUGUUGGGAAUUCACUUUCUCAGUAACGAAGCUAACGCGUGAAGUAGACCGCCUGGGGAGUACGGUCGCAAGAUUAAAACUCAAAGGAAUUGACGGGGACCCGCACAAGCGGUGGAUGAUGUGGAUUAAUUCGAUGCAACGCGAAAAACCUUACCUAGCCUUGACAUGUCGAGAAUUCUGAAGAGAUUUGGAAGUGCCCGCAAGGGAACUCGAACACAGGUGCUGCAUGGCUGUCGU
rnacentral:rRNA from 1 species